CAAAAGGGAGGAAUCCCUCCAGCUUGUCUCCUUCACAGCUCCUCUUUGGGUCGCCAUAGCAGUGAAAUCCAAAGGAAAACGCAGAGAAAGAGAGGGGAAAUUCUUUCUCCCUCUUAAAGAGAGAAAGAGAGAGAGAUAUACGCGGCCACAGCUCUUUUAUUUUUUAUUUUUUCAGACAAGUCGUCAAAUUCAAGCUGCUGAAUUUGAGCCCUAGCAAAUUUUACAUGUUUCUCUCUCUUUAAUUCUCUCAAAUUUUAUCUUUUUUUUUUUUUUAAUCUAUAAAAUGCUUAUGAAGAACCACUCAGUUAAAGAUGAACCUUCACGGCAGCUUAAUCAGAAUCCUAUCUCGUAUCCGCCGUCGGAUAAUUCCCGCCACGGUGGCAGAAACGUCUUUCGCUUGAUAGCACAGAGAGAAAUUUCUCCUACAACAAAAUAUGCUCCUGCAAGACAGCGGGGAGAAGCUUCAAAAAGGAAAGUGGGUUCUUUAACAGGGCCUAAAAGUGAAAGAGCAAGAGAUGCAAGGCGUGGUCUUAUCUCAUGGGUUGAAGCAGAGUCACUUCGGCAUUUAUCAGGCAGGUAUUGUCCUCUAAUGCCUCCACCAAGGUCAACUAUAGCUGCAGCAUUCAGUCCCGAUGGAAGAACACUCGCCUCUACCCAUGGUGACCAUACUGUAAAAAUAAUUGAUUGUGAAACUGGUAGCUGCUUGAAAGUUUUGAGUGGUCAUAGGAGGACACCUUGGGUGGUUAGGUUCCACCCAUUAUAUCCAGAAAUUGUUGCCAGCGGGAGUUUGGAUCAUGAAGUUCGGUUGUGGGAUGCAAACACAUCAGAGUGUAUAGGAUCUCGUGAUUUCUAUCGCCCUAUUGCAUCGAUUGCUUUCCAUGCUAAAGGGGAGCUUCUUGCUGUUGCUUCGGGUCACAAGUUAUACAUAUGGCACUACAACAAGAGAGGGGAGCCUUCCUCACCAACAAUUAUAUUGAAGACACGGCGUUCACUUCGAGCUGUUCAUUUUCAUCCACAUGCUGCACCAUUUCUUUUAACCGCUGAGGUCAAUGAUAUUGACUCUUCAGAUUCCUCGAUGACACAAGCAACAACUCUGGGUUACUUACGAUAUCCUCCUCCUGCUGUUUUUGUGUCAAAUGUUCACUCUGGUGACUGUCUUAGUUUGACUCCUGAACUGCCAUUGAUGUCCUUACCUUUGUUUGUGCCAUCAUCAAAUGUUGAUGAUUCAAGAAGAGAAUUGCAACAAACAAUGCAACAUAUUGGGACGAGUAGCGUGCAAAUGGAUCCUUCUGCUUCAAUACAGUUUCAAACAGAUAGGCAUACAGCAGAGCAAAAUGAUAACAUGUUGUCUCCUAUGGAUACAUCUUCAUUGGUUCCUCCUUGUCAUCCUGGUGCUGAAGGCACUGCAAACAAUUCUCUUCUUAAUGCAAUGGGUAUUGGUGCUUGUGACGUCAGAUCAGAUGCUAUGGAGAUUGAUGAGAUGCAGUCUGUAAGGAGAAGUUAUAAUGAAAGCUUUAAUAACAUAAGUAGUGUUAAUGUUGAUGGAGUAUCUGAACGUGGUCAAAAUCGCAUAGGGUUUACUGAACUUGGCCAAUUUCAACAGAUUUCACCUGGUAGAGAUCACGCUUAUUGGGAGCUACCUUUUCUUCAAGGAUGGUUGAUGGGCCAAAGCCAAGUUGGCCUUCCCUCAAUGUCUUCUUCUAAUGGUGGUAAUUUUGGGAAUUCAAAUCAACAUGUGGUUUCUUCUAACUUAGCAUAUCAUCAGUCAACUCAUAAUUUGGAGGGUGUGAGAACUUCUUCAUCAAGGCCAGGUGGCAUCAACCUGUCUGGGGUUUCAGGAAGGUCUGGCUUGCAACAGCGUUUUCCGCACAUACGCUUCUCUGUAUCUGAAUCUGGUGAUGGUCCUACCUCAAUUGUGCUACAUGAUGGGAGUGAUGCACAACUUAUUAUUAAUAGGAUCGAAUCAGAAAUUUCCACAUCACUGGCUGCUGCUGCAGCUACAGAGUUACCUUGCACGGUGAAGCUAAGAGUGUGGUCACAUGACAUAAGAAAUCCCUGUGCUCCACUCAAUGCUGAAAGAUGCUGCUUAACCAUACCCCAUGCAGUUCUUUGUAGUGAAAUGGGUGCUCAUUUCUCUCCUUGUGGGAAAUUUUUAGCUGCCUGUGUUGCAUGUACACUUCCUCAUGGGGAAGUUGAUAGUGGAUUACAAACUCCACUCCAUCAAGAUUCUGGGGCAGCCAGUUCCCCUACCCGACACCCAAUCUCAGCACACCAAGUGAUGUAUGAGCUGCGGAUAUAUUCCCUUGAGGAGGCAACAUUUGGUUCUGUGCUUGUAUCAAGAGCAAUCAGAGCUGCCCAUUGUUUGACUUCAAUCCAGUUCUCACCCACUUCUGAGCACAUAUUACUUGCCUAUGGUCGACGUCAUGGUUCUCUUCUUAAAAGCGUAGUCAUUGAUGGGGAAACAACAUUGCCAAUUUAUACUGUUCUGGAGGUUUACAAAGUUUCGGAUAUGGAACUUGUGAGAGUGCUUCCUAGCGCAGAGGACGAGGUUAAUGUUGCUUGCUUUCAUCCUUUUGCUGGAGGUGGCCUGGUUUAUGGGACCAAGGAAGGGAAGCUUAGGAUCUUCCAGUUUGGUGCUCAUGAGGGACAUUGCACCAGCAGAACAAAUAACUUUCCAGAAGAAAAGCGGGCUAUCGUAGUGUAGUGACAAGAUUCCCAUGGAAAUAACUCUGGUGCUUUGUAUUGCUAUGGGUUGAGUUUCAUCUACCAAUUGCUCAAAACAAAAUCUUGAAUGCUGGAAACCAGUGUUCUGUCUUCAUUUCAGCUGUGCAAUCCCGCUGGAUGAUAUAUGCCCUUAACUUCUCUCUGCUCAACAUUUGACAAAAGUAUAGGAUAAUGAUGGAUUGCAUUCUCCAUCUUUUUGAAGAGAUGAUCAAUAGAAAUGAUUCCAUCUCAAACAUCCUCUAAAGUUUUUGGUUUUCAAGGUAUUUAAGUUACCAAUUAGCUAGAAUGUGUUCAAUUUUGGUGGCGAUACAGCAGAAUAACUGUAUGGGAGAAAUGCAACUAGUUGCUUAGAGUGCAUUUUUUGUUUUUCUCCUUCAGCCAAAAAAAAAAGAUAACAUUUAUACUGUAUCAAAUUUGUGUGAAAAUGUAUAUUAUUAGUAUUAUGUAUCAGUAAUUGUAACUUGCAACUCAAGUUUGUUUCUUUUUUAAUAAUUAUUCUUUUUUUUAACUUCUUUA